GCUUAACUCCUUGGAGCCCGGCCUCCGGCAGCGGCCACGCCCCCCCAGGUACGCAACCUCCGUCCUUGGCAGCGACACUCUAGGUGAGCGUGCCUGGGGUGCCGGGGUCAAUUGAGUUCAGGCCCGGGUUUAAAUAGGGAAUUAAGGGCGGACUGCUCAAACGUCUUUGAGCUGCCCUGAAAAUCCUUUCUUCUCCCUCGGGUCACGUCCGUGGAGGAAUAGGUUCAGGAAGCCUUCACCUGGGCUCCAUGGAUCAGCAUGGCAGAUAAUCAGACCCCUCAGGCCCAGCCAUAAUCGUCGGCGUCCUGAAUGCGCAAGCCCAGUCUUGGGAAGCUGAACUCGCCUUACUCAACGCUUCCGGUUCUGCCACUGGCUCCUCCUCCAGAUCAGCCGAGAAAAAACCAAUCAACACCGGGAUUUGGUGACGUCAUGGUUCGGGGCAGUCGGCUCCCUGCCUAGAAGUUUCCAACAUCAGUGAGCCUGCUGCCACCUAAUGGCAGAAUGGAGGGAAGGCGCGGGCCUCUGGAGUGGAGACAGCUGAAGAAGCAAAGUCUCAACUUUUUCUAAGAAAUUUAAAGCACUAUAUUUCUGUUGCAAACUAAGAAAUAUAAACAGAGUCUGCAUCGCCUGGGUGACUACCUUCUAACCGAUUUCUGUCACGCAUUUAUGAGAGUUGGAACCAAGAACUGCUAUUUGCUUUUCAAGGGCUAAUGAGAAAGAAAUAAAGGUCUUAGAUGA